AGAGUUUGAUCAUGGCUCAGGAUGAACGCUAGCUACAGGCUUAACACAUUGCAAGUCGAGGGGAAACGACAUCGAAAGCUUGCUUUUGAUGGGCGUCGACCGGCGCACGGGUGAGUAACGCGUAUCCAACCUGCCCACCACUUGGGGAUAACCUUGCGAAAGUAAGACUAAUACCCAAUGAUAUCUCUAGAAGACAUCUGAAAGAGAUUAAAGAUUUAUCGGUGAUGGAUGGGGAUGCGUCUGAUUAGCUUGUUGGCGGGGUAACGGCCACCAAGGCGACGAUCAGUAGGGGUUCUGAGAGGAAGGUCCCCCANAUUGGAACUGAGACACGGUCCAAACGUCCUACGGGAGGCA
rnacentral:rRNA from 1 species